UCUUCUCUUUGAGGUCUGUUUGGCGGCUGAGAAAAACCUGCAAUCAAAAUCAUGCCUUUCCGGCUAAGGACAUCUGAGCGAGCGGAUGCACGCAGAGUCACCCUCGGAAGCACCCUGUCCUUACAUAGCUAUUGCACAACCGUCCCCUGCACAGUAAGGUUUGCCUCGGCUAUCAAAACAUGUUUUGACAUUCCUGCAAUGUUAGCCAUGCAAUUUAACCUCUCUCUAGCCCACCCACUUCUCUAAAAAGCCAAACUAGAAUGACAAACAAUCUCUCUUCGCAGAAUAAAAGAGAUGGCUAAAACCUGCCAGGCUUCACCCCACCAGAAAUUCAAGAACUUCUGAGAAGCGCUUUUUGCCAGAGGAAGUUUGGAAGCCGCACCCAGAGGGUUUGUGCCGCUGCUCCAGCACCGUCCCCGAACGGGGAACCGGGUCCAGCCCCUCCUGCUGCUGGUCCCUCCCGCCCGAGUUAGUCUCCCUCUGAGCGGGCGAGCCGAGCCGGUUCCUCUCCUUUGUCCCUGCAACGCCCAAUUUGCUUCCUCCCUGCCGGUCGCAGGCUGGGCUGUGCGAGACACACACGCACUGGGCCACUGAAAAGGGAGGACGAGCAGCAGAAAAACCAAACAUAUCAAGUUGGUGAUAGUUCCACGGUAUGCUCCAGUAAGGAUGAUAACAGAAGAAUCCAUAACGAGUACGAAAAAAAAUUGGACAGGAUUCGGAAUGAAUGGGAUCCGGGGAUGACGUGUUUUGGUUAGAUGACAAGAAUCGUGUGGAUGUAAAGGAGACCCCAGAAUCACCACCACACGGAGGCAAGUGUGAGGAUCAAGCGUUGGUUCAUUACAGGAUCCAGAAAUCAGUGCUCGUGGACUCUGAGAAACCGAGAGUUGGAAAUGGCACAGAGUCCAACCCGCCUGCUCCAGGCAGGAUCCCCAGUUAAAGCUUCCCUGGCAGAUUGGGCUGAAGUCAUCCAGAGACCUUCUGUGGCUGAAUCCUAGUCCCGCCUCUUCACCACUGCACCAUCCUUGGUCAAGCUUUGAAGCUCACUGUAUUUUCACAUGGCUGGCCAGGGGCUUUUUUAAUCUGCUACCGAAAUGCGACAGUUGCAAUGUUUUAAUGUGAAACUCUGCAAAUGGAACUGCAGAUUUUGUUUGUUUGUUUAAAAGACUUAUAUGGCCACCCAUCUUAGAAACGCAAUUCCGGGUAGGUCACAACAGUUACAUCAAAACCAAGCAUUAUACAAAAGCGAAAAGCAGGAAACAAUAAAAAAGAAAGACUAGGUGUGGUGCCUGAACCAUAGCAUAGGCCCAGCAUUUCUCUUAUGGCUAGGGUGACUGAGGAGUUGGUGCAACAGGUCUGUCAAGACAGAAAGCCUGACCUGGAAGACCAGAUGUGGCCCAUCUCUGGUGCAAACAGGAGGUAGAGCUAACAGUGAAUUCUAUUCUGGCAGAAACUCAGGAAAAUCCUAGGACUCCACCUGGUUUCUAGGCAACAUCUCAUUAGCUCUGCAACCUAGGUGACCCCUUUCAUUUGUACAUUUAAGAUUCCAGGGAUAAAUUAACCCUUCACUUCCUCUUCUGGGCACUUCUCUAGUCCAUUCUGGACAUCUUUUCUUCGUUACUCUCAGGCGUCCUAUCUGCAGUUAAAAGAAUUUUUGCAUGCAUCCUGAAGCAGCUUCAAGUGUCCUGUUUGGCAGCACAGAAACAUCCACAGAAAUAGCCAGAAAUGCUUGGGUGGAACAGGACUUACCUAUUAUCACAAGCUACAGCGCAUGUUAACGCUCACUCCAAGUAAGUUACCUUAUAAAUUCUGCUUCUAGAGCAGAAAUUAUGACUGCUCUUCCUCAGCCAUUAAUAAGUCAGCAUUUUGUCAAUGAAUUUCAGGUCUGUUGGCCACACAAAUGUACAAGC